GGUUAAACACAGUGAAAAUGGGAUUAAACACAGCAAGAAUGGGGGAAACACCAAAAAUGGGGCAAAAGACCCAGCGCUGCAUCGAGUUCCUCGAGGACUUCGGCUCCAGCAUCCACAGUUUGCUCAAGGCCUACGACGAGCACCAGAAGAUCCUCAAGGCCCACGCGGCGCGGAAACGACCCCCCGAGAACGGGUGAGACCCCCCGGGACC